ACGAACGCUGGCGGCGUGCCUAAUACAUGCAAGUGGGACGCAAGAGAACACACUGUGCUUGCACACCGUGUUUUCUUGAGUCGCGAACGGGUGAGUAACGCGUAGGUAACCUGCCUAUUAGCGGGGGAUAACUAUUGGAAACGAUAGCUAAUACCGCAUAAUAUUAAUUAUUGCCUGAUAAUUGAUUGAAAGAUGCAAGCGCAUCACUAGUAGAUGGACCUGCGUUGUAUUAGCUAGUUGGUAAGGUAAGAGCUUACCAAGGCGACGAUACAUAGCCGACCUGAGAGGGUGAUCGGCCACACUGGGACUGAGACACGGCCCAGACUCCUACGGGAGGCAGCAGUAGGGAAUCUUCGGCAAUGGACGAAAGUCUGACCGAGCAACGCCGCGUGAGUGAAGAAGGUUUUCGGAUCGUAAAGCUCUGUUGUAAGUCAAGAACGUGUGUGAGAGUGGAAAGUUC
rnacentral:rRNA from 1 species